rnacentral:tRNA from 2 species
GGUAAGAUGGCUGAGGGUAGGCGGUAAGCUGUAAACUUAUUAACGAAAUUAAUUUUCUUUUACC